rnacentral:rRNA from 1 species
UAGGGAAUCUUCGGCAAUGGGGGCAACCCUGACCGAGCAACGCCGCGUGAGUGAAGAAGGUUUUCGGAUCGUAAAGCUCUGUUGUAAGUCAAGAACGAGUGUGAGAGUGGAAAGUUCACACUGUGACGGUAGCUUACCAGAAAGGGACGGCUAACUACGUGCCAGCAGCCGCGGUAAUACGUAGGUCCCGAGCGUUGUCCGGAUUUAUUGGGCGUAAAGCGAGCGCAGGCGGUUUGAUAAGUCUGAAGUUAAAGGCUGUGGCUCAACCAUAGUUCGCUUUGGAAACUGUCAAACUUGAGUGCAGAAGGGGAGAGUGGAAUUCCAUGUGUAGCGGUGAAAUGCGUAGAUAUAUGGAGGAACACCGGUGGCGAAAGCGGCUCUCUGGUCUGUAACUGACGCUGAGGCUCGAAAGCGUGGGGAGCGAACAGGAUUAGAUACCCUGGUAGUCCACGCCGUNNCGAUGAGUGCUAGGUGUUGGAUCCUUUCCGGGAUUCAGUGCCGCAGCUAACGCAUUNANCACUCCGCCUGGGGAGUACGACCGCAAGGNU